GCAUGGCUGUCGUCAGCUCGUGUUGUGAAAUGUUGGGUUAAGUCCGCAACGAGCGCAACCCCUAUCCUUUGUUGCCAGCGAUUCGGUCGGGAACUCAAAGGAGACUGCCGGUGAUAAACCGGAGGAAGGUGGGGAUGACGUCAAGUCAUCAUGGCCCUUACGAGUAGGGCUACACACGUGCUACAAUGGCGUAUACAAAGAGAAGCGACCUCGCGAGAGCAAGCGGACCUCAUAAAGUACGUCGUAGUCCGGAUUGGAGUCUGCAACUCGACUCCAUGAAGUCGGAAUCGCUAGUAAUCGUAGAUCAGAAUGCUACGGUGAAUACGUUCCCGGGCCUUGUACACACCGCCCGUCACACCAUGGGAGUGGGUUGCAAAAGAAGUAGAUAGCUUAACCUUCGGGAGGGCGUUUACCACUUUGUGAUUCAUGACUGGGGUGAAGUCGUAACAAGGUAAGCGUAGCGAG
rnacentral:rRNA from 1 species